UUCUAGAACCAUUCACACUUUCAUCUUCUUCUUUAACUCUCUCACUUUCCCUUCAUCUUCUCGGCUUGGGGUUUUAGCACAAUUUUUGCUUAAAUCUUCUUCCACUUCUUUUCAAUUCCUCCUCCACUUUCUUUUAAUCUUCUGUUCGUUACUUUUUUUCAAUGGAUUUUUUCCUAUUUUAUCAGCUUCUUGCUUGAAGUAUCAACAUUUAUGAAUCUUCUACUUUGGGUGUUACAAGGUUUGUACUCAAAAGAUAGAUAAAUAUUUACUUGCCAUGGUUAUGGAAGACUCGACGCUCCUCAUCCAUCACUUUCAGAAAGAAUAGGAGCAAGCUCUCAUGAUAGAGAUCCGGAAGAAUACAAAGUAGCAGAUGUUUUCAGCAAUGUGCAAAUCCUUGCAAUACUCUAUAUGUUUCUUAACUGGACUACGUAAUUUCUAUUUUUCAUAGGUGAUAUCGCCAUGAUAUCAACAUAAUACAUCUGGUUAAUCAUGUGGUAUAUAAUGAUAGGUGGGAAAUGAACAAUUAGUCAUAUGCUUGGAUUUGAUUUUGUAAUUGAUUUUAAAAGAAAAG